GGUCUAUGAUGACAAACAUAUGUCAUGAAAAGAGAUGGCAACAUAAAAAUCAUGCUGAAUAGAAUGAUGCUAAGGACA